UAAGCGGAGGAAAAGAAACUAACAAGGAUUCCCCUAGUAACUGCGAGUGAAGCGGGAAAAGCUCAAAUUUAAAAUCUGGUGGCCUUUGNNCACCCGAGUUGUAAUUUAGAGAAGCGUCUUNCGCGCCGGACCGUGCACAAGUCUCCUGGAAUGGAGCGUCAUAGAGGGUGAGAAUCCCGUCUUUGGCAUGGAUCCCCGGUGCUUCUGUGAUGCGCUCUCGAAGAGUCGAGUUGUUUGGGAAUGCAGCUCAAAAUGGGUGGUGAACUCCAUCUAAAGCUAAAUAUUGGCGAGAGACCGAUAGCGAACAAGUACCGUGAGGGAAAGAUGAAAAGCACUUUGGAAAGAGAGUGAAACAGUACGUGAAAUUGUUGAAAGGGAAACGCUUGAAGUCAGUCGCGUCGACCGAGACUCAGCCUUGCCUCGGCUUGGUGUACUUCUCGGCCCGACGGGUCAGCGUCAAUUUUGCCCCUCGGAUAAUGGCAAGGGAAAGGUGGCACCUUUACGGGUGUGUUAUAGUCUCCUGUCGCAUGCGAGGGGUGGGAUUGAGGAACUCAGCGCGCACCUUGGUGUCGGGGCUUCUGCCCACGUCACGCGCUUAGGAUGCUGGCGUAAUGGCUUUAAACGACC
rnacentral:rRNA from 1 species